rnacentral:rRNA from 1 species
AGAACGAACGCUGGCGGCAGGCCUAACACAUGCAAGUCGAGCGGAUCCUUCGGGAUUAGCGGCGGACGGGUGAGUAACGCGUGGGAACAUACCCUUUGGUACGGAAUAGCCUCGGGAAACUGAGAGUAAUACCGUAUGUGCCCUUCGGGGGAAAGAUUUAUCGCCAAAGGAUUGGCCCGCGUUGGAUUAGGUAGUUGGCGGGGUAAUGGCCUACCAAGCCGACGAUCCAUAGCUGGUUUGAGAGGAUGAUCAGCCACACGUGGGACUGAGACACGGCCCAGACCUCCGUACGGGAGCAGCAGGUGGGAAUCGUUAGACAAGUCGGGGAAACCCUGAUCUAGCCAUGCCGCGUAGAUCGAUGAACGGUCGUUAAGGGUUAUAAAG